UACGGAGGGGGCUAGCGUUGUUCGGAAUUACUGGGCGUAAAGCGCACGUAGGCGGUUGCUCAAGUCAGAGGUGAAAGCCCAGAGCUCAACUUUGGAAUUGCCUUGAACUAGGUGACUUGAACACGGGAGAGGUGAGUGGAAUUCCGAGUGUAGAGGUGAAAUUCGUAGAUAUUCGGAAGAACACCAGUGGCGAAGGCGGUCACUGGACCGUUGUUGACGCUGAGGUGCGGAAAGCGUGGGGGAGCAAACAGG
rnacentral:rRNA from 1 species